GCCCCGGUAACUCAGUGGUAGAGGUAAUAUAUGUGGUGAGCGAAAGCGCCUAGCAAUACCUAUGAGGAGGUCGCAGGUUCGAAUCCUGUCCGG
rnacentral:tRNA from 1 species